rnacentral:rRNA from 1 species
GGGUUGUGAGGUUAAGCGACUAAGCGUACACGGUGGAUGCCCUGGCAGUCAGAGGCGAUGAAGGACGUGCUAAUCUGCGAUAAGCGCCGGUAAGGUGAUAUGAACCGUUAUAACCGGCGAUACCCGAAUGGGGAAACCCAGUGUGAUUCGUCACACUAUCAUUAACUGAAUCCAUAGGUUAAUGAGGCGAACCGGGGGAACUGAAACAUCUAAGUACCCCGAGGAAAAGAAAUCAACCGAGAUUCCCCCAGUAGCGGCGAGCGAACGGGGAGGAGCCCAGAGCCUGAAUCAGCAUGUGUGUUAGUGGAAGCGUCUGGAAAGGCGCGCGAUACAGGGUGACAGCCCCGUACACAAAAGCGCAUGUGCUGUGAGCUCGAUGAGUAGGGCGGGACACGUGGUAUCCUGUCUGAAUAUGGGGGGACCAUCCUCCAAGGCUAAAUACUCCUGACUGACCGAUAGUGAACCAGUACCGUGAGGGAAAGGCGAAAAGAACCCCGGCGAGGGGAGUGAAAAAGAACCUGAAACCGUGUACGUACAAGCAGUGGGAGCACAGGUUUACCUGUGUGACUGCGUACCUUUUGUAUAAUGGGUCAGCGACUUAUAUUCUGUAGCAAGGUUAACCGAAUAGGGGAGCCGGAGGGAAACCGAGUCUUAAUUGGGCGUUAAGUUGCAGGGUAUAGACCCGAAACCCGGUGAUCUAGCCAUGGGCAGGUUGAAGGUUGGGUAACACUAACUGGAGGACCGAACCGACUAAUGUUGAAAAAUUAGCGGAUGACCUGUGGCUGGGGGUGAAAGGCCAAUCAAACCGGGAGAUAGCUGGUUCUCCCCGAAAGCUAUUUAGGUAGCGCCUCGUGAAUUCAUCUCCGGGGGUAGAGCACUGUUUCGGCUAGGGGGCCAUCCCGGCUUACCAACCCGAUGCAAACUGCGAAUACCGGAGAAUGUUAUCACGGGAGACACACGGCGGGUGCUAACGUCCGUCGUGAAGAGGGAAACAACCCAGACCGCCAGCUAAGGUCCCAAAGUCAUGGUUAAGUGGGAAACGAUGUGGGAAGGCCCAGACAGCCAGGAUGUUGGCUUAGAAGCAGCCAUCAUUUAAAGAAAGCGUAAUAGCUCACUGGUCGAGUCGGCCUGCGCGGAAGAUGUAACGGGGCUAAACCAUGCACCGAAGCUGCGGCAGCGAACGUAUCACCCAAGACAACUUUACGGAGUUGACGAUUGACGGAGCGAAGCGACGUCAAAGCGUUCAUUAAAGUCGAGUUGGCUUAGGGAUACGUUCGUUGGGUAGGGGAGCGUUCUGUAAGCCUGUGAAGGUGUGUCGUGAGGCAUGCUGGAGGUAUCAGAAGUGCGAAUGCUGACAUAAGUAACGAUAAAGCGGGUGAAAAGCCCGCUCGCCGGAAGACCAAGGGUUCCUGUCCAACGUUAAUCGGGGCAGGGUGAGUCGACCCCUAAGGCGAGGCCGAAAGGCGUAGUCGAUGGGAAACGGGUUAAUAUUCCCGUACUUGGUGUUACUGCGAAGGGGGGACGGAGAAGGCUAUGUUGGCCGGGCGACGGUUGUCCCGGUUUAAGCGUGUAGGUGUGUGUUCCAGGUAAAUCCGGUUCACUUUAACACUGAGGCGUGACGACGAGGCACUACGGUGCUGAAGCAACAAAUGCCCUGCUUCCAGGAAAAGCCUCUAAGCAUCAGGUAACACGAAAUCGUACCCCAAACCGACACAGGUGGUCAGGUAGAGAAUACCAAGGCGCUUGAGAGAACUCGGGUGAAGGAACUAGGCAAAAUGGUGCCGUAACUUCGGGAGAAGGCACGCUGACACGUAGGUGAAGUGAUUUACUCAUGGAGCUGAAGUCAGUCGAAGAUACCAGCUGGCUGCAACUGUUUAUUAAAAACACAGCACUGUGCAAACACGAAAGUGGACGUAUACGGUGUGACGCCUGCCCGGUGCCGGAAGGUUAAUUGAUGGGGUCAGCGCAAGCGAAGCUCCUGAUCGAAGCCCCGGUAAACGGCGGCCGUAACUAUAACGGUCCUAAGGUAGCGAAAUUCCUUGUCGGGUAAGUUCCGACCUGCACGAAUGGCGUAAUGAUGGCCAGGCUGUCUCCACCCGAGACUCAGUGAAAUUGAACUCGCUGUGAAGAUGCAGUGUACCCGCGGCAAGACGGAAAGACCCCGUGAACCUUUACUAUAGCUUGACACUGAACAUUGAGCCUUGAUGUGUAGGAUAGGUGGGAGGCUUUGAAGUGUGGACGCCAGUCUGCAUGGAGCCGACCUUGAAAUACCACCCUUUAAUGUUUGAUGUUCUAACGUGGACCCGUAAUCCGGGUUGCGGACAGUGUCUGGUGGGUAGUUUGACUGGGGCGGUCUCCUCCUAAAGAGUAACGGAGGAGCACGAAGGUUGGCUAAUCCUGGUCGGACAUCAGGAGGUUAGUGCAAUGGCAUAAGCCAGCUUGACUGCGAGCGUGACGGCGCGAGCAGGUGCGAAAGCAGGUCAUAGUGAUCCGGUGGUUCUGAAUGGAAGGGCCAUCGCUCAACGGAUAAAAGGUACUCCGGGGAUAACAGGCUGAUACCGCCCAAGAGUUCAUAUCGACGGCGGUGUUUGGCACCUCGAUGUCGGCUCAUCACAUCCUGGGGCUGAAGUAGGUCCCAAGGGUAUGGCUGUUCGCCAUUUAAAGUGGUACGCGAGCUGGGUUUAGAACGUCGUGAGACAGUUCGGUCCCUAUCUGCCGUGGGCGCUGGAGAACUGAGGGGGGCUGCUCCUAGUACGAGAGGACCGGAGUGGACGCAUCACUGGUGUUCGGGUUGUCAUGCCAAUGGCACUGCCCGGUAGCUAAAUGCGGAAGAGAUAAGUGCUGAAAGCAUCUAAGCACGAAACUUGCCCCGAGAUGAGUUCUCCCUGAGACUUAGAGUCUCCUGAAGGAACGUUGAAGACGACGACGUUGAUAGGCCGGGUGUGUAAGCGCAGCGAUGCGUUGAGCUAACCGGUACUAAUGAACCGUGAGGCUUAACCUUACAACGCCGAAG